rnacentral:rRNA from 1 species
GCAAGUCGAGGGGUAACAUUGUAGCUUGCUACAGAUGACGACCGGCGCACGGGUGCGUAACGCGUAUGAAACCUACCUAAUACAGAGGGAUAGCCCAGAGAAAUUUGGAUUAAUACCUCAUGGUACUGUGAUCUCACCUGAGAUUAGUUAAAGAUUUAUCGGUAUUAGAUGGUCAUGCGUUCUAUUAGUUAGUUGGUAAGGUAACGGCUUACCAAGACCGCGAUAGAUAGGGGCCCUGAGAGGGGGAUC